rnacentral:rRNA from 1 species
UUGACGGAGAGUUUGAUCCUGGCUCAGGACGAACGCUGGCGGCGUGCUUAACACAUGCAAGUCGAACGAUGAUGCCCAGCUUGCUGGGCGGAUUAGUGGCGAACGGGUGAGUAAUACGUGAGUAACCUGCCCUUGACUCUGGGAUAAGCCUGGGAAACUGGGUCUAAUACUGGAUACUACCUCUUGCCGCAUGGUGGGUGGUGGAAAGGGUUUUACUGGUUUUGGAUGGGCUCACGGCCUAUCAGCUUGUUGGUGGGGUAAUGGCUCACCAAGGCGACGACGGGUAGCCGGCCUGAGAGGGUGACCGGCCACACUGGGACUGAGACACGGCCCAGACUCCUACGGGAGGCAGCAGUGGGGAAUAUUGCACAAUGGGCGGAAGCCUGAUGCAGCGACGCCGCGUGAGGGAUGACGGCCUUCGGGUUGUAAACCUCUUUCAGUAGGGAAGAAGCGAGAGUGACGGUACCUGCAGAAGAAGCGCCGGCUAACUACGUGCCAGCAGCCGCGGUAAUACGUAGGGCGCAAGCGUUGUCCGGAAUUAUUGGGCGUAAAGAGCUCGUAGGCGGUUUGUCGCGUCUGCUGUGAAAGCCCGGGGCUCAACCCCGGGUCUGCAGUGGGUACGGGCAGACUAGAGUGCAGUAGGGGAGACUGGAAUUCCUGGUGUAGCGGUGAAAUGCGCAGAUAUCAGGAGGAACACCGAUGGCGAAGGCAGGUCUCUGGGCUGUUACUGACGCUGAGGAGCGAAAGCAUGGGGAGCGAACAGGAUUAGAUACCCUGGUAGUCCAUGCCGUAAACGUUGGGCACUAGGUGUGGGGGACAUUCCACGUUUUCCGCGCCGUAGCUAACGCAUUAAGUGCCCCGCCUGGGGAGUACGGCCGCAAGGCUAAAACUCAAAGGAAUUGACGGGGGCCCGCACAAGCGGCGGAGCAUGCGGAUUAAUUCGAUGCAACGCGAAGAACCUUACCAAGGCUUGACAUUCACCGGACCGCCCCAGAGAUGGGGUUUCCCUUCGGGGCUGGUGGACAGGUGGUGCAUGGUUGUCGUCAGCUCGUGUCGUGAGAUGUUGGGUUAAGUCCCGCAACGAGCGCAACCCUCGUUCUAUGUUGCCAGCACGUGAUGGUGGGGACUCAUAGGAGACUGCCGGGGUCAACUCGGAGGAAGGUGGGGAUGACGUCAAAUCAUCAUGCCCCUUAUGUCUUGGGCUUCACGCAUGCUACAAUGGCCGGUACAAAGGGUUGCGAUACUGUGAGGUGGAGCUAAUCCCAAAAAGCCGGUCUCAGUUCGGAUUGAGGUCUGCAACUCGACCUCAUGAAGUCGGAGUCGCUAGUAAUCGCAGAUCAGCAACGCUGCGGUGAAUACGUUCCCGGGCCUUGUACACACCGCCCGUCAAGUCACGAAAGUUGGUAACACCCGAAGCCGGUGGCCUAACCCCUUGUGGGAGGGAGCCGUCGAAGGUGGGACUGGCGAUUGGGACUAAGUCGUAACAAGGUAGCCGUACCGGAAGGUGCGGCUGGAUCACCUCCU